rnacentral:rRNA from 1 species
AUUCUUUCGGGAUGAAGAGCAUUGUGACUGAGCGGCGGACGGGUGAGUAACGCGUGGGUAACCUGCCUCAUACAGGGGGAUAACAGUUAGAAAUGGCUGCUAAUACCGCAUAAGCCCACGGUGCCGCAUGACACUGAGGGAAAAGGAUUUAUUCGCUUUAGGAUGGACUCGCGUCCAAUUAGCUAGUUGGUGGGGUAACGGCCUACCAAGGCGACGAUCAGUAGCCGACCUGAGAGGGUGACCGGCCACAUUGGGACUGAGACACGGCCCAAACUCC